rnacentral:rRNA from 1 species
AGCUUUAUGAUUUUUUAUAAAGUACCUCCUGCUCAGUGAAAAUCAACAGCCGCAGAAUUUAUAUACUGUGCUAAGGUAGCAUAAUCACUUGUCUUUUAAUUAAAGAAUAGAAUGAACGGAAAAACGAAUCUUAAACUGUUUCAGUUUUUUGUAAUAAAAUUACCAAAAAGUAAAAACACUUUUUUUCAAAAAAAAGACGAUAAGACCCUAAAGAACUUGACUUAAGUUAAGCUGGGGCGGCUAUUUAAAAAAAUCUUACUUUAUAUUAAUAUGUCCUUAUUAAAUUCACUAAGUUACCUUAGGGAUAACAGCAUAAUAUAAUUUUACAGCUCUUAUUAAAAAUUAAGAUUAUGACCUCGAUGUUGAAUUAAAAAUCUACUAAACGAAAAAAAUUAGUAAGAAAGUCUGUUCGACUCUUAAAUAUUUACA